GGAUUAGAUACCCUGGUAGUCCUUGCCGUAAACGAUGUAUACUUGAUGUAACUGGGCUCAACCCUGGUUGUGUCGUAGCUAACGCGAUAAGUAUACCGCCUGGGGAGUACGCUCGCAAGGGUGAAACUCAAAAGAAUUGACGGGGGCCCGCACAAGCAGUGGAGCAUGUGGUUUAAUUCGAUGCAACGCGAAGAACCUUACCCAGGUUUGAAAUACAGGGGAAUAAAGUAGAAAUAUUUUAGUCCGCAAGGACCCCUGAACAGGUGCUGCAUGGCUGUCGUCAGCUCGUGCCG
rnacentral:rRNA from 1 species